rnacentral:rRNA from 1 species
GGUCUUCGGACGCUGACGAGUGGCGGACGGGUGAGUAAUACAUCGGAACGUGCCCAGUCGUGGGGGAUAACUACUCGAAAGAGUAGCUAAUACCGCAUACGAUCUGAGGAUGAAAGCGGGGGACCUUCGGGCCUCGCGCGAUUGGAGCGGCCGAUGGCAGAUUAGGUAGUUGGUGGGAUAAAAGCUUACCAAGCCGACGAUCUGUAGCUGGUCUGAGAGGACGACCAGCCACACUAGGACUGAGACACGGCCCAGACUCCUACGGGAGGCAGCAGUGGGGAAUUUUGGACAAUGGGCGAAAGCCCGAUCCAGCAAUGCCGCGUGCAGGAUGAAGGCCUUCGGGUUGUAAACUGCUUUUGUACGGAACGAAAAAGCUUCUCCUAAUACGAGAGGCCCAUGACGGUACCGUAAGAAUAAGCACCGGCUAACUACGUGCCAGCAGCCGCGGUAAUACGUAGGGUGCGAGCGUUAAUCGGAAUUACUGGGCGUAAAGCGUGCGCAGGCGGUUAUGUAAGACAGAUGUGAAAUCCCCGGGCUCAACCUGGGAACUGCAUUUGUGACUGCAUGGCUAGAGUACGGUAGAGGGGGAUGGAAUUCCGCGUGUAGCAGUGAAAUGCGUAGAUAUGCGGAGGAACACCGAUGGCGAAGGCAAUCCCCUGGACCUGUACUGACGCUCAUGCACGAAAGCGUGGGGAGCAAACAGGAUUAGAUACCCUGGUAGUCCACGCCCUAAACGAUGUCAACUGGUUGUUGGGAAUUAGUUUUCUCAGUAACGAAGCUAACGCGUGAAGUUGACCGCCUGGGGAGUACGGCCGCAAGGUUGAACUCAAAGGAAUUGACGGG